GACGAACCGUGCGAACGUUGUUCGGAAUCACUGGGCUUAAAGGGCGCGUAGGCGGACCACCCAGUCCGGGGUGAAAUCUUUCGGCUCAACCGGAAAAGGGCCUUGGAUACUGGUGGUCUGGAGGAAGGUAGGGGCAUGCGGAACUUCCGGUGGAGCGGUGAAAUGCGUUGAUAUCGGAAGGAACGCCGGUGGCGAAAGCGGCGUGCUGGACCUUUUCUGACGCUGAUGCGCGAAAGCCAGGGGAGCGAACGGGG
rnacentral:rRNA from 1 species